rnacentral:rRNA from 1 species
UACAUGGGGUGCAAACGUUGCUCGGAAUCAUUGGGCGUAAAGCGCGCGUAGGCGGUUACUUAAGUUGGAUGUGAAAGCCCUCGGCUUAACCGAGGAAGUGCAUCCAAAACUGAGUAGCUAGAGUACGGAAAGAGGGUCGCGGAAUUCCCGGUGUAGAGGUGAAAUUCGUAGAUAUCGGGAGGAACACCGGUGGGCGAAGGCGGCGACCUGGGUCGAGACUGACGCUGAGGCGCGAAAGCGUGGGGAGCAAACAGG